UGGGGAAUCUUCCGCAAUGGGCGCAAGCCUGACGGAGCAACGCCGCGUGAGUGAAGAAGGUCUUCGGAUCGUAAAGCUCUGUUGAUGGGGACGAACGUGCCUAAUGCGAAUAGUAUUAGGUAAUGACGGUACCCAUCGAGGAAGCCACGGCUAACUACGUGCCAGCAGCCGCGGUAAUACGUAGGUGGCGAGCGUUGUCCGGAAUCAUUGGGCGGUAAGGGAGCGCAGGCGGGCAUGUAAGUCUUUCUUAAAAGUGCGGGGCUCAACCCCGUGAUGGGAAAGAAACUAUGUGUCUUGAGUACAGGAGAGGAAAGCGGAAUACCCAGUGUAGCGGUGAAAUGCGUAGAUAUUGGGAGGAACACCAGUGGCGAAGGCGGCUUUCUGGACGGCAACUGACGCUGAGGCUCGAAAGCGAGGGGAGCGAACGGG
rnacentral:rRNA from 1 species